rnacentral:rRNA from 1 species
UACGUAGGGUGCGAGCGUUGUUCGGAAUUACUGGGCGUAAAGAGUGUGUAGGCGGUGUUCCCAGUCUGUUGUGAAAUCUCCCGGCUUAACUGGGAGGGUGCAGCGGAAACUAGAAUGCUAGAGGGUGGGAGAGGUAAGCGGAAUUCCUGGUGUAGCGGUGAAAUGCGUAGAUAUCAGGAGGAACACCUGUGGUGUAGACAGCUUACUGGACCGCUUCUGACGCUGAGACACGAAAGCGUGGGUAGCAAACAGG